UACAACUUUCAACAAUGGAUCUCUUGGCUCUCGCAUCGAUGAAGAACGCAGCGAAACGCGAUAUGUAAUGUGAAUUGCAGAAUUCAGUGAAUCAUCGAAUCUUUGAACGCACCUUGCGCCCUUUGGUAUUCCAAAGGGCAUGCCUGUUUGAGUGUCAU
rnacentral:rRNA from 1 species